CUGCCCACCCCUCAAAUGCAGCCGGAGGAGCAAAGUUGGGACGCGAAGGACUCAAAGGAUCAAGGAAAGAGAGACACAGACCUCUGGGUCUGCUCCAGCUAUAGGCUGUCGAGUGUCUUAACCCGGAAAGUUCAGGGACCGGGCUCCGGAGUCCUACAGUGCCUUGGUCAGCGACCCCAAGUAGUGUAUGAGUACACAGAGAUUCUCAGUGGAGUCAUCCGGAGCGUUAAGAAGGAUGGCGAGUGGAAGGUGCUCAUCAUGGACCAUCCAAGCAUGAGGAUCUUGUCAUCCUGUUGUAAAAUGUCAGACAUCCUGGCGGAGGGCAUCACCAUUGUGGAAGACAUCAACAAACGGCGAGAACCUAUUCCCAGCUUGGAGGCCAUUUAUUUACUGAGCCCCACGGAGAAGUCGGUUCAGGCCCUGAUUGCAGACUUCCGGGGGACACCGACCUUCACCUACAAAGCAGCCCAUGUCUUCUUCACUGACACAUGCCCUGAGCCCUUGUUCAGUGAACUGGGCCGCUCCCGUCUGGCGAAGGUGGUGAAGACACUGAAGGAGAUCCACCUGGCCUUCCUCCCGUAUGAGGCCCAGGUGUUCUCUCUGGAUGCCCCACACAGCACCUACAACCUUUACUGCCCAUUCCGGGCAGGGGAGCGGACACGGCAGCUUGAAACAUUGGCCCAGCAGAUAGCCACACUAUGUGCCACCCUUCAGGAAUACCCAUCCAUUCGCUACCGCAAGGGUCCAGAAGACACAGCCCAGCUGGCCCAUGCUGUCCUAGAGAAGCUGAAUGCCUUCAAGGCAGACACUCCCAGUCUGGGCGAGGGUCCAGAGAAAACACGCUCACAGCUACUCAUAAUGGACCGGGCAGCAGACCCCGUGUCUCCGCUCUUACAUGAACUCACAUUCCAAGCCAUGGCCUAUGAUCUUCUGGACAUUGAGCAGGACACAUACAGGUAUGAGACCACAGGACUGAGUGAGUCCCGGGAGAAGGCGGUGCUCCUGGAUGAAGAUGAUGACCUGUGGGUGGAGCUUCGACACAUGCACAUAGCGGAUGUUUCCAAGAAGGUCACGGAGCUGCUGAAGACAUUCUGUGAGAGCAAGCGGCUGACCACAGACAAGGCCAAUAUCAAAGACCUGUCUCACAUCCUGAAAAAGAUGCCUCAGUAUCAGAAGGAACUGAACAAGUAUUCUACACACCUGCAUUUAGCAGACGACUGCAUGAAACGUUUCAAAGGCUCCGUGGAGAAGUUGUGCAGUGUGGAACAGGACCUGGCCAUGGGCUCUGAUGCCGAGGGUGAGAAGAUCAAGGACGCCAUGAAGCUGAUUGUCCCGGUGUUGCUGGACGCCUCGGUGGCACCCUACAACAAGAUCCGGGUGCUGUUGCUCUACAUCCUUCUUCGGAACGGUGUGACUGAGGAAAACCUGGCCAAGCUGAUUCAGCAUGCCAACGUGCAGGACCACAGCAACAUCAUCCGGAAUCUGGAGCAGCUGGGGGGUACCGUCACCAACUCUGCGCCCCUUCCCAUCUGUGAUGGGCUCCUUCCCUUCCCAACCCCAUUCCGUCCCCACCUGGCCCCAUCUGUAGGGUUCGGGGACCUCCAGCCGGCUGGAGAGAAGGGAGCGCAUGGAGCCCACCUACCAGCUGUCCCGCUGGUCCCCAGUCAUCAAAGAUGUGAUGGAGGAUGUGGUGGAGGACCGGCUGGACCGAAAGCUGUGGCCCUUUGUGUCUGACCCUACCCCUGUGCCUAGCUCCCAGGCAGCUGUCAGUGCCCGCUUUGGCCACUGGCACAAAAAGGCUGGCAUCGAGGCUCGGGCUGGGCCCAGGCUCAUCGUGUACAUUGUGGGUGGUGUGGCCAUGUCUGAAAUGAGGGCUGCCUAUGAAGUGACCAGGGCUACUGAAGGCAAGUGGGAAGUUCUUAUAGGCUCUUCUCACAUCCUUACUCCAACCCGCUUCCUUGAUGACCUCAAGACCCUGGAUCAGAAGCUGGAGGACAUGGCCCUGCCUUGACUCAGCCCCUGCCUCUGUGCUCACCGGUUCCAGAGAAAUAAACUCCUCCCUUGGUCUUUC